AAUUACUAUCCCCCCUGUCCACAGCCAGAGUUAACUUUGGGCGCAAGCAAGCACGCUGACGAUGACUUUAUCACAGUCGUUCUGCAAGAUCAUAUUGGUGGUCUUCAAGUUCUUCAUCAGAACAAGUGGAUUGAUGUACUUCCUGUGCCUGGGGCUCUAGUGGUUAACAUUGGAGAUCUUCUACAGGCAAGUAUAACUAUAAUUCUUAUUCCUCUUUUAUAUUUUGUAGGAGAUAUAGUUGGGGUUCUUUUUUAAUUAAAAAGGUACUAUUACAUUAUGAUUGCACACAUGUAUUAGGUUGUCCAGAAUGUGAGGAAAACUUUCAUAAACCAGGAUAUAUUCCGGGAUAUGGAAUUUUUAUUAUCUAUUUUAUAAUGUCUUCUUGUUUAAAAUUUGAGAAAAAUUUCGGCAGUGUAGUAACAUGGCCUCAUUUUAGUUUUCGCAUAGGGCUUCCCACCGUCCCUCUGUUGUAGUAUAGUCAUUAGAAUAUGGGUCAAAUUCUUCAAUUUAGUUUCCUAGUUUGGGUUUUCUGAUAUUGAAUUCUUUUGGACUUUCAGCUUAUAUCAAAUGAUAGAUUCAGGAGUGUAGAACACAGGGUAUUGGCAAAUCGUGCCGGUCCAAGAGUAUCUGUUGCGAGUUUCUUUACCACUGGCUUUUUAGCAUUGCCACAAAUCUAUGGACCCAUUAAGGAGUUGCUAUCAGAAGACAAUCUUCCAAAGUACAGGGAGACAACUGUGAAGGAAUAUAAUGCUUACUUCUUUAACAAAGGCCUUGAUGGGACCUCUGCCUUAACUCAUUUCAAGCUCUGAACUUGGAGGCAUAGGAGCAACUGCAAUGAACAAAUGGUGUCUACCAAAUAACUUGGCAUGAAAAUAUUGCUUCAUACAAAAUACUAAGUUGAUUGUUUGUUCAUGCCUGAUGCAGGACAUAAGUCAAAGUUAUAAAGUUAGAUAAUUGUAUUUAUGGUUAUAUUACAUUGGUUGUUAAUAAUCUGUUGUGAAAUAUUAUGGCUUUCCAAUAAAAGUUGCAAAGGUUUUCAGCUCUUUUUACAAACUUCCAUAUAAUCUCUCUGUUGUGGUUGGAUAAAAACCUUCAUGCACUGGUAAAAUCAUUGCCAACAAAAGCAGAAUUUUUUUUCUUUAACUAGGAUAUAUAAUCAACUGAUUCUGAGCACUAUUUGUUUAUACCUGUUUAUAAAAUACGAAUAUGAGUGCUUUACUACCAUGGCCGUAUACAGAAGUUGAAAUGUCUAAUAUUAUCUGUCUGUAGUCUGAACUGUAUAUAGCCCAAAUGAAUAUAUUAAUGUGAAAAACACAACUCUGCCUAUAUAUUAUAAACUAUUUUUGCUCUGAUUCAAGUUUGAACAAAUUAAUUUUAGUCAGUUACUUACUAGGGAAUAUUUGAGCCUUUUUUGCCUUUGCCUGGACUAUUCAAAAGCAUAUUCAGUCACUUUUAUCAAAGUAGGCUACAAGAAUCUGGACCAAAAAUAAAAGCUAGAUGUUUACCAAGUGAUGAAACGUUAAUUGUCCAAGUGGUGGCUAACAGUGCGUAGUGUCUUGAGAUGUGUUAUUUAGUUUUGAAUCAUAAAGUACAUCUAGUUUUGUUCAUUGAAAAUUAAAUCAGAGAAUGAAAUUUGCAAAAAUGCUGUUUUUCUUCCCAUUUCACUAAUUGCAAAGUGAUCUUCUUUGCUAAAAGAUACACUUCUGAUCUGAUAUCCACUACAACAUUAAGCUUAGCAGCAACCAAGAUGGCAGCUACCAAUACAAAUGAGGUUCCAACCAAUUAUGACAGAAAAAAGUGAACUAAAAGCUUUUGAUGACACCAAGGAAGGUGUUAAAGGCCUUGUUGAUGCUGGGAUAACUGAGGUUCCCAGAAGGCCUUGAGUUCGAUAGUCCAACCAAACGCGAAGAGAUUUUUACAAAAGUUGGAGAGGCAUCACAGACUUGGGGAUUUUUUCAAAUUGUCAAUCAUGGAAUACCUAUUGAUGUUUUGGAGGAGAUAAAGGUCUUGUGAAUUGGCUCACCAUUGAUGCAGGAUGAAGGAAGAGGAACUAAGGGGCUGCAAGAAGAGGAGCAAGAGAAGGACGGUCGUUUUUGGCCGACAGCAGUGAAGUCGCGUCAAUUAGUCCGCGCACUGUUUGGUGUGUUUGACUUGGUUUUCCCUAUUAUUUUGGGAUUUUCUAGCAUAAUUUAAUACGAUUUUGGUUUCCAAUUCUUAAUUAACUUAUAGCAAAAGUCUUAUGCAUUAUAAACAGGACUUUAGGGUUAGAUUAAAAUAGGAAGAGAGGAAAAUUCAAGAGUGAAUUUUCAAGGGAGAAACACAAGACAUAAUUCAAGGGUUUAUUGAGUGUUUAUAAGGGCAUCAAGGAUUUGAGUCAGGGUGAGAGAAAAGAGAGCUAGGGUUUUUAUGAGAACUAAGGGGGUUUAAGCUGUAACUAAACUUGUUCUUACAUAAUAGUGAAAUUCUCUGGUGGAUCACUAAGAGGAUGUAGGCAUGAGGCCGAACCUCUAUAAAUCUUUGUGUUAUUGUGUGUUUGCUUUCUCUCUUCAGUGUGCGUGUAUUUUAUUCUUAGAGGGGUUUAUGUGUGUGCCGUCACAUAGUCCAUCAACGACAAGGUCUUGAAAUGUUUCUGCACAACAAAAGGAUAAGGUACGUACGUGGGUCUAUGAGCAAGACACCAUGCGAAGAAAUAGUUUUACACUCGUGAUCACUUCAAACCUGUGGUCUACAAUAGCAACUUCGAUCUACUAUGAGCACCAGCGACUAAUUGGAGGGAUACUUAUGUGCUACAAGUUUACACUCCUAAUCCCUAUGUUGCACAGACACGGACACGGCGACACGAAUAUGUGAUACGGGGGCACCUCAAAAGAAUAUCUUCAAAGUAUAGCCGCAUGGCUGUACUCUGAAAAAUAGAAUAUUUUAAAAGUCCAGCUACGCGGCUAUACCCUUUAACUAACUCUUUUUUUUUUUUAAAAAAAAUUACUUUGAUUAGUAGUUAUGUUUUUACUUAGUAAAUAUUAAAGGAAAAAGAAAAAAGAAAAAAUGAAUUAUUAUUUAUUAAGUAAUAUAAUUCACGAAGUUAAUUAAAAAAAAUAAUUAUUCACUAAAUAAAUAAUAAGUAAAAUAUAAUUACUAAUUUAACUAAUUGAAUAAGGCAGAUAUAUUAUUUAAAUAAAAUAAAAUAAAAAACCUCUCUCGAUGAAAUUUCGUCGGGAGAAACCUAAUCCGGCAAAUAUUUACCAACUUGUGCAGAUGAAAUUUCGUCAGGAGAAGUGUUUAUUUAUUUAUUUUAAAAUUUUAAAAUAUAAAAUUAGUUUCUUUACUUUUGUUUUUGGCCAACUUCUUUAAUUUAAUAUAUGUAAUUAAGUAAUAUCUUAUCUUUUUUGAAUUACUUUAAAUAGUAACUAUGUUUUAAUUAUUAUUUCUUUAGUGAAUAUUUAAAUAUGUUACCUAUUUCAUAAAUUACUCAAUAAAUAGUAAUUAAUUAUUUUAAAUUAUUUUGUGCAAUUUUCAAACUUAAUUUCAUUCAAAGGAUAUGUAAAAAACUUACUGUACAAAUUGCUUAUUUUCUUGCAAAAACUUCUGCAAGAUCAUAUUGGUGGUCUUCAAGUUCUUCAUCAGAACAAGUGGAUUGAUGUACUUCCUGUGCCUGGGGCUCUAGUGGUUAACAUUGGAGAUCUUCUACAGGCAAGUAUAACUAUAAUUCUUAUUCCUAUAUUCGCCCAAAAAAAAAAAAAAUCUUAUUCCUAUUUUAUAUUUUGUAGGAGAUACAGUUGGGUUUUUUUUUAAAUUAAAAAGGUACUAUUACAUUGUGAUUGCACACAUUUAUUAGGUUGUCAAGAAUGUGAGGAAAACUUUUAUAUACCAGGAUAUAUCCCGGGAUAGGGAAUUUUUACAUAUAUUUUAUAAUUUCUUAUUGUUUAAAAUUUGAGAAAAGUUUCGGCAGUGUAGUAGCAUGGCCCCAUUUUAGUUUUCGCAUAGGGCUUCCGACCAUCCCUCUGUUGUAGUAUAGUCAUUGAAUUCUUCAAUUUAGUUUCCUAGUUUGGGUUUUCUGAUAUUGAAUUCUUUUGGACUUUCAGCUUAUAUCAAAUGAUAGAUUCAGGAGUGUAGAACACAGAGUAUUGGCAAAUCGUGCCGGUCC
rnacentral:lncRNA from 1 species